rnacentral:rRNA from 1 species
GAAUAUUGGACAAUGGGGGAAACCCUGAUCCAGCCAUCGCGCGUGUAUGAUGAAGGCCUUCGGGUUGUAAAGUACUUUUGGCAGAGAAGAAAAGGUGUCUCCUAAUACGAGUCACUGCUGACGGUAUCUGCAGAAUAAGCACCGGCUAACUACGUGCGAGCAGCAGCGGUAAUACGUAGUGUGCAAGCGUUAAUCGGAAUUACUGGGCGUAAAGCGUGUGUAGGCGGUUCGGAAAGAAAGAUGUGAAAUCCCAGGGCGCAACAGUGGAACUGCAUUUUUAACUGCCGAGCUAGAGUAUGUCAGAGGGGGGUAGAAUUCCACGUGUAGCAGUGAAAUGCGUAGAUAUGUGGAGGAAUACCGAUGGCGAAGGCAGCCCCCUGGGAUAAUACUGACGCUCAGACACGAAAGCGUGGGGAGCAAACA